AAUAGAUACCCUGGUAGUCCACGCCGUAAACGAUGAGUGCUAAGUGUUAGGGGGUUUCCGCCCCUUAGUGCUGCAGCUAACGCAUUAAGCACUCCGCCUGGGGAGUACGGUCGCAAGACUGAAACUCAAAGGAAUUGACGGGGGCCCGCACAAGCGGUGGAGCAUGUGGUUUAAUUCGAAGCAACGCGAAGAACCUUACCAGGUCUUGACAUCCCAUUGACCACUAUGGAGACAUAGUUUUCCCUUCGGGGACAACGGUGACAGGUGGUGCAUGGUUGUCGUCAGCUCGUGUCGUGAGAUGUUGGGUUAAGUCCCGCAACGAGCGCAACCCUUGUUCUUAGUUGCCAUCAUUUAGUUGGGCACUCUAAGGAGACUGCCGGUGACAAACCGGAGGAAGGUGGGGAUGACGUCAAAUCAUCAUGCCCCUUAUGACCUGGGCUACACACGUGCUACAAUGGACGGUACAAACGGUUGCCAACCCGCGAGGGGGAGCCUAAUCCGAUAAAAACCGGUUCUCAGUUCGGAUUGUAGGCUGCAACUCGCCUACA
rnacentral:rRNA from 1 species